rnacentral:rRNA from 1 species
CAUUGACGGAGAGUUUGAUCCUGGCUCAGAGCGAACGCUGGCGGCGUGGAUAAGGCAUGCAAGUCGAGCGAUCUGCCGCAAGGCAGAUAGCGGCAAACGGGUGAGUAACGCGUAGGUAACCUACCCUGAAGAGUGGGAUAACCCAACGAAAGAUGGGCUAAUACCACAUGUGUCUCCUGGACCGCAUGGUUCGGGAGAGAAAGAUGGCCUCGACCGCAAGGUUGCUAUCACUUCAGGAGGGACCUGCGUCCCAUCAGCUAGUUGGUAGGGUAA